rnacentral:rRNA from 1 species
GACGAACGCUGGCGGCGUGCCUAAUACAUGCAAGUUGAGCGCUGAAGGUUGGUACUUGUACCAACUGGAUGAGCAGCGAACGGGUGAGUAACGCGUGUGGCAUCUGCCUUUGAGCGGGGGACAACAUUUGGAAACGAAUGCUAAUACCGCAUAAAAACUUUAAACACAAGUUUUAAGUUUGAAAUAUGCAAUUGCAUCACUCAAAGAUGAUCCCGCGUUGUAUUAGCUCGUUGGUGAGGUAAAGGCUCACCAAGGCGAGGAUACAUAGCCGACCUGAGAGGAUGAUCGGCCUCAUUGGGACGGCGACACGGCCCAAACUCCUACGGGAGGCAGCCGUAGGGCAUCUUCGGCAAUGGACGAAAGUCUGACCGAGCAACGCCGCGUGAGUGAAGAAGGUUUUCGGAUCGUAAAACUCUGUUGGUAGAGAAGAACGUUGGUGAGAGUGGAAAGCUCAUCAAGUGACGGUAACUACCCAGAAAGGGACGGCUAACUACGUG